rnacentral:rRNA from 1 species
UACGUAGGGUCCAAGCGUUAAUCGGAAUUACUGGGCGUAAAGCGUGCGCAGGCGGUUCGUUAAGUCAGCUGUGAAAGCCCCGGGCUCAACCUGGGAAUGGCGGUUGAAACUGGCGAACUUGAAUCUGGCAGAGGGGGGUGGAAUUCCACGUGUAGCAGUGAAAUGCGUAGAGAUGUGGAGGAACACCGAUGGCGAAGGCAGCCCCCUGGGCUGAGAUUGACGCUCAGGCACGAAAGCGUGGGGAGCAAACAGG